rnacentral:lncRNA from 1 species
CUUUGAUGUUCACACAUACUUUUAUUAGGUCAACCUUGGGUUUGUGAAAAGCAAAGCACAAUGAGAUUACUACACUUAUCAUUUUAUGCAUGGCGUAAAAGAUAUAAUUUUAAAGUCUCUGAUUAUAGAAUACAAGAAUAAAUAUGAAUAUCAAAAAACACUUGUAGUUAGUGGAAAAGAUAAAGAAAAAGAGCCCCUCGAAGUUGAUAAACGAGAAAAACUGCCAAAUCUACCUUAAGACUAAAGGUUACUAUGGUAAAAUUUAAAGAGGACCCUCUCUGCCAUUAGAGCAAAUUUUAAAGAGGUAGGGAUUUGAAAUUCUACAGUGGCUAGGCUCGAGAAGCGUUUAACAGGAUGGAAGAGAGCUCUCCUCUCAAAAGGGGGUAGACUCACUGAUGUAAACCAAGGAGGCAUGGCAACCCGUGAGCAAGGAGGGACCUGCAGGUUCAGGGAAUCCCGUGGGACAGAGAAUUCCCACAGCGUGAAGGAUUCUCACAGCCACUUAGAGAGCUUGAACUCCUGCGGGCUUUAGGAGAGCCUGGACUCCCGUAGGCUUGAGGAUGGCUCGGUGAUGUGAGCAUUGACAUGGAUCAAAUUGGCAAAGAAGAUAUUUCAAUGCCAACUGGGCCCAUUACAAGGGAGAGAGCUAAAAGAUUACAAAUCUUCCAACUUUUUAUCUAAGCGUGGAUCAAUGAGGAAGAUCAGUUUGGACCAAUUAAAGAAGCAUAAGAAAAGAUGACAACAUGGCCAUUAACCCAAAAGUAUAAUAGUACAUUACAUUUACCCCAAAUGCAAGAGGAAAAUAAACAACAAAAGAGAAAAAUUUUGCAAGACAUGAAAAGGAAAAUUCUCAUGAAAUUUUAUUUCCUAAUCAUGUGAAAAAUCUUCAUAAUUAAAA